rnacentral:rRNA from 1 species
UACGUAGGGGGCUAGCGUUGUCCGGAAUCAUUGGGCGUAAAGCGCGCGUAGGCGGCCCGGUAAGUCCGCUGUAAAAGUCAAAGGCUCAACCUUUGAAUGUCAGUGGAUACUGCCGGGCUAGAGUCCGGAAGAGGCGAGUGGAGUUCCUGGUGUAGCGGUGGAAUGCGCAGAUAUCAGGAGGAACACCAACGGCGAAGGCAGCUCGCUAGGACGGUACUGACGCUGAGGCGCGAAAGCGUGGGGAGCGAACAGG